rnacentral:lncRNA from 1 species
GGCUAAUAUUACUCUAAUUAAGGGAUAAUGAGAACCUUAAUUAAGUAGUAUAUAAAGGUUAUUUUGGUUAUGGUCCCCAAUAUACCAAAUCAUACACUCUUUUCCCUUCUCCCCAUCAAGAAGAGAAAUCACGGUCCCAUUGAGGAAUAAGGAGAUUUGGUUGAGGAAGAUCACAAAACCACCCUCUUCAUUUGCAUUCAUCGGUACGUAGUCGAUUGUCGCAGUAAUUCCGCAACAGUAGGCAAU